GAUGAACGCUAGCGGCAGGCUUAAUACAUGCAAGUCGAGGGGCAGCAGUCCCGCAGCAAUGCGGGAGCUGGCGACCGGCAAACGGGUGCGGAACACGUACAGAACCUUCUUCGAGCGGGAAUAGCCCAGAGAAAUUUGGAUUAAUACCCCAUAGCAUUACGAAGUGGCAUCACUUUGUAAUUAAAGNUUUAUCACUCGAAGAUGGCUGUGCGGCUGAUAGGUAGUUGGCGGAGUAACGGCCCACCAAGCCUUCGAUCAGUAACUGGUGUGAGAGCACGACCAGUCACACGGGCACUGAGACACGGGCCCACUCCUACGGGAGGCAGCAGUAAGAUAUUGGUCAAUGGACGAAAGUCUAGAACCA
rnacentral:rRNA from 1 species